GGCGGCAUAGCUCAGCUGGUAGAGCAGUGGAAUCAUAAUCCAUGGGUCGGGGGUUCGAGUCCCUCUGCCGCUACCA
rnacentral:tRNA from 2 species